GACGAACGCGGCGGCGUGCCUAAUACAUGCAAGUAGAACGCUGAAGGAGGAGCUUGCUUCUCUGGAUGAGUUGCGAACGGGUGAGUAACGCGUAGGUAACCUGCCUGGUAGCGGGGGAUAACUAUUGGAAACGAUAGCUAAUACCGCAUAACAACAGUUGUUGCAUGACAGCUGUUUAAAAGGUGCAAUUGCAUCACUACCAGAUGGACCUGCGUUGUAUUAGCUAGUUGGUGAGGUAACGGCUCACCAAGGCGACGAUACAUAGCCGACCUGAGAGGGUGAUCGGCCACACUGGGACUGAGACACGGCCCAGACUCCUACGGGAGGCAGCAGUAGGGAAUCUUCGGCAAUGGACGGAAGUCUGACCGAGCAACGCCGCGUGAGUGAAGAAGGUUUUCGGAUCGUAAAGCUCUGUUGUAAGAGAAGAACGAGUGUGAGAGUGGAAAGUUCACACU
rnacentral:rRNA from 1 species